UACGUAGGGGGCGAGUGUUGUCCGGAAUCAUUGGGCGUAAAGAGCUCGUAGGCGGUUCAGUAAGUCAGGUGUGAAAGCUCCGAGCUCAACUCGGAGAGGCCACCUGAUACUGCUGUGACUAGAAUCCAGUAGGGGAGUGUGGAACUCCUGGUGUAGCGGUGAAAUGCGCAGAUAUCAGGAAGAACACCAGCGGCGAAGGCGGCACUCUGGGCUGGAAUUGACGCUGAGGAGCGAAAGUGUGGGUAGCAAACAGG
rnacentral:rRNA from 1 species